rnacentral:lncRNA from 1 species
UGAGGGUUUUACUUUCUUUGGAGAAUGUUUGAAAACAUCUGUCAGAUUUUUAUAUUCAUUAGUUACAAUAAACAUAUUUUUAGAGUAUUUUAUUAAACGUUCUUCAAAGGGUUUUGUUUGGGUUUUGCUUAACUAUAUGUGCCAAUAAUAUGUAUUAUUUAUGGAAUGUCCACACCAUGCCAGUGAUCAUAAGUCCUUGAGUAUUGACACGAGUCGUCCUGCUAACUGUAAGGCAGAUGCUAUAGGUACCCUCAGGUGACAAUCUGGCAAGCCUCCUGCCCAAUCCCCACAGCUGGUAGCUCUCCCAGCUCCAGGAUCUUCACAACGCUCUUCAAACUUCCAGCAUCAGCCAGUGUAGUGACAUCUGUGAUGAGCUGGGCACACUGGACAGACCAGCCCUUUUCAGAAGUGUUCUCUCCUUUGUUUUCUGAGGUGGGAGCAACAGUAACAGUCCAGACCUGGGAAGUUCUUCCUUAGAGACCUCUACUCCAGCAAAGCCAUGUCCUUGCCUGCCUCAGAAAAGAACCUUAGAAUUCAUGACAAGCAAAUGUAGUGUUGUUCAAGUAGAGAGAGGAGACAGUGCACACUUCAGAUGUUCUGUCGUUCAUUUGAGCACAGCGGAAGACAUACCCUCGGACUGAGGGUACCACCACGCAGUUGUCUGUAUAACCGAGAUCCUCCGCCACUGUCAUUCCAGAGGCACAGAAGGGCGCAUGUGGAGCUAUGGUGCUCACAUUGGCUCUGGUGACUGAGGCUGCUGUGUGAAGCUGUCUUCUAGAGAACAGAGCCAAGCUGCGGGCUGAGUUUUUGCUAUGUGGCCAGUUGUAGGGCACUGUUUGGCUUUAGAGUCAGGAUUGUUAACAUGGUUUUAAUUGUUUUAAUGUUCAAAGUCCUUUGAAGAUCAAUCAUCUUAAAUGCUGGGCCCUCAACCUUCUCCAUCCUCUGACCAUUGAGCUUCAUUGCCCACUCCCAUAUGUGCCCCAAGUUUCCUCAGUCACUGGGGAAAAUAGAAUGAUAAUCCCUCCAGCUGGCUUUUGCCUUAGACCUGUUCUCACCUGUCCUCCUUGCAAACGUUCAUGGUCCUGGAGACCCAACACCCUGCAGACAAUGUGUAAAUUACACUUGAGGUGCAGUCCACUCAUCCAGACUGUGGUAGCACCAUCCCAGACCCACCUAUCUCCUGAUCAUCUUAGUAGUCCCUCCUAUACCUGAGACCCCUGGCCAAGUCUGGCUGCUAUUGCAGCUUUUUCAACCAAGUCAAUGGUGUCACCAUUACUCUGAUCUCCCAGGCAAGACAUACCCUCUGCUUUCUCCCUCACUCUCCAUACCCACUUUGUCUUCAAGUUCACCCUUGACCUCCACACUCUUAUCUGUCACCCUGACUGACAUACCUUCCACACCUGCAAAUGUUCCCUUAGCUCUGUGCCAUGACUUAAGCCCUUUCACAGACUUGGAAAGCCACAUCCCUUUUCCAUUCCAGGAAGAUGCUUCCAAACCUCUCAGAUACAAAGUCACAGCCAUCAGUUCCCUUCCAUUGCUCCUGCGUGUCUAAAUGAUACCGCAUCAAGUAGGACUUGGGUGCAGGAGGCAUGACUCCGAGGUGACUGGGUUAAUUGGUUGAUGUCCUGUCUAAUUAUUUGGGAAGCUGUCACUGACUCUAAGGUUGGUAUACUCCGCCCCCGAUGGUGAUCUCUCUGGCUUUGCAAGGAUUCUAAAACCGUUUUACAAGCUGAAUGUCACCUCAGAUGGUGACAGAUGAAUUCUUUCUGUUACCCAGCUAGAUGAAAGUAGAUGUGAGUCUGUGUCACACAGUCCAGUUCCUCUCUGCUGUCCUGGUUUUGUAGCAGUACUUAGAGAGACUGGCUGCUGUGGGGUGGGAGGGAAGGGGGGCAGGAGGGAGGGAGAGGAGAAAUACGGAGAUGGAGGGCUGACUUUGUGUUUCUCUGUGUUGCUGUACAUCUCUGUUUCUGUGUGUGUCUCUGAGUGUGACUAUAUAUGUAUGUGUCUGUAUGUAUGUCUUUGUAUAAUAUUACAUGGCCUUUGUUAAUACUCUUAAAAUGUUUGUGUCAAUGGUAUUUUUAUGUGUCAAAUUAUGAAUCAGUAGGAUUAAACACCAUUCUGGGUUCUCAGAUCUAUACAUAUACACUUGGUGGAAGGAGUCUAGAAACACGCAGUCUUUAAAAACCCUGUUCUCUGGGCCACUCCACGUGCAUUAGUCUGGGGAAGGUGGCCUUCUCUGAAACAUUUUAACUCUUCCCAGGGAUUCUGACGUACAGCACUGACUGAAUUUCUCCGAACUACUGGUGCAGUCCUUUAAAAUUAUCUGUGGACUUUCAGGAUGAGUCUAGACUAGAAGUUCCUUCUUAGGAUCUAACAAAAUGGCUAUCAAAUAAAUUUUUAAAAAUCAAAAAUCUUGAAAAGUUCCCCAUGAUCAAGCAGUAGGAGGAGUUUUUCUUGGUGCCUUGAACUUCAGAGGUAGCCGAAGGAAAUGCCUAGAUCUCCUGUCAGGAAAGAAUGGCUCCCGACCCAUUGCUGCUGAGGGAAAGUCCCGAGUCUCAGUAAAACCUCACUUAGAAAGAAGCUGAUUAUACCAAACCCAGACAGUAAGGCAGAUGCCAAGAAGUCUUUGCUGACAGGAACCUAAUAUACCUGUCUCCUGAGAGACUCUGCCAGAGCCUGACAAACACAGAGUCAGAUGCUUGUAGCCAACCUUUGGACUGAGCUUGGUGUGCCCCAUUGGAGGAGUCAAAGGACUGAAGGAGCUGAAAGGGUUUGCAACCCAUAGGAAGAACAAUAUCAACCAACCAGAACCCCCAGAGUUCCCUGGGACUAAACCACCAACCAAAGAGGGAAGGAAUGGAGAGACCCAUUGCUCCAGCUGCGUCUGUAGCAGAGGAUGGCAUUCUCUGGAAUCAAUAGGAGGAGAAGCCCUUGGUACUGUGAAGGCUCGAUUCCCCAGUGUAGGGGAAUGCCAGGGUGGGGAGGCAGGACUAGGUGGGUGAGUUGGGGAGCAACCUCAUAGAAGCAGGGGGAGGGAUGAUGGGAUAGGGAGUUUCUGUAGGGGAAACCAGAAAAGGGGAUAAUAUUUGAAAUGUAAAUAAAUAAAAUAUCCAAUUAACAAACAA